AGAGUUUGAUCAUGGCUCAGAACGUACGCUGGCGGCACGCCUAACACAUGCAAGUCGAACGAAGUAGCAAUACUUAGUGGCAGACGGGUGAGUAACAUGUGGGUAUCUGCCCUUUGGCCUGGAAUAACACGAGGAAACUUGUGCUAAUACCGGAUAAGUCUUUACGGAGAAAGCUUUAUGCACCAUUGGAUGAGCCUGCACUUGAUUAGUUUGUUGGUGGGGUAAUGGCCUACCAAGACUGUGAUCAAUAGCUGAUUUGAGAGGAUGAUCAGCCACAUUGGGACUGAGACACGGCCCAAACUCCUACGGGAGGCAGCAGUGGGGAAUCUUGCACAAUGGAGGAAACUCUGAUGCAGCGAUGCCGCGUGAGUGAAGAAGGCCUUUGGGUUGUAAAGCUCUUUCGUCGGGGAAGAAAAUGACUGUACCCGAAUAAGAAGGUCCGGCUAACUUCGUGCCAGCAGCCGCGGUAAUACGAAGGGACCUAGCGUAGUUCGGAAUUACUGGGCUUAAAGAGUUCGUAGGUGGUUGAAAAAGUUAGUGGUGAAAUCCCAGAGCUUAACUCUGGAACUGCCAUUAAAACUUUUCAGCUAGAGUAUGAUAGAGGAAAGCAGAAUUUCUAGUGUAGAGGUGAAAUUCGUAGAUAUUAGAAAGAAUACCAAAUGCGAAGGCAGCUUUCUGGAUCAUUACUGACACUGAGGAACGAAAGCAUGGGUAGCGAAGAGGAUUAGAUACCCUCGUAGUCCAUGCCGUAAACGAUGUGUGUUAGACGUUGGAAAUUUAUUUUCAGUGUCGCAGGGAAACCGAUAAACACACCGCCUGGGGAGUACGACCGCAAGGUUAAAACUCAAAUGAAUUGACGGGGACCCGCACAAGUAGUGGAGCAUGUGGUUUAAUUCGAAGAUACGCGCAGAACCUUACCAACACUUGACAUGUUCGUCGCGACUCUAAGAGAUUAGAGUUUUCGGUUCGGCCGGACGAAACACAGGUGCUGCAUGGCUGUCGUCAGCUCGUGUCGUGAGAUGUUGGGUUAAGUCCCGCAACGAGCGCAACCCUCACUUUUAGUUGCCAUCAUUAAGUUGGGCACUCUGAAAGAACUGCCAGUGAUAAGCUGGAGGAAGGUGGGGAUGACGUCAAGUCCUCAUGGCCCUUACGUGUUGGGCUACACACGUGCUACAAUGGUAUCUACAACAGGAAGCAAGACUGCGAAGUUAAGCAAAUCCCUAAAAGAUACCUCAGUUCGGAUUGCACUCUGCAACUCGAGUGCAUGAAGCUGGAAUUACUAGUAAUCGUGGAUCAGCGUGCCACGGUGAAUGCGUUCCCGGGUCUUGUACACACCGCCCGUCACACCAUGGGAGUUGGUUCUACCUUAAGGCAAGGUUUCAAACCCUUGACCACGGUAUAGUCAGCGACUGGGGUGAAGUCGUAACAAGGUA
rnacentral:rRNA from 1 species